GGAAGCAGACAUUGUGUUGCUCGUGGAUGGGUCAUGGAGCAUUGGCCGAGUGAAUUUUAGAACUGUGAGAAGUUUCAUUUCUCGUAUUGUGGAAGUCUUUGAGGUUGACCCCAAAAGAGUACAGAUUGCCCUUGCUCAGUACAGUGGAGACCCCAGGACAGAGUGGCAAUUAAACGCUUACAGAGACAAGAAGAGU